rnacentral:rRNA from 1 species
UACGAAGGGUGCAAGCGUUGCUCGGAAUUAUUGGGCGUAAAGGGUAGGUAGGUGGUAAUAAAAGUCUGGGGUGAAAUCCCUGAGCUCAACUCAGGACGUGCCUUGGAAACUUUAUUACUAGAGUGCUGGAGAGGUCCGCAGAAUUCCCGGUGUAGCGGUGAAAUGCGUAGAGAUCGGGAGGAACAUCUGUGGCGAAGGCGACUGCCUGGACCAGCACUGACACUGAGGCACGAAAGCGUGGGGAGCAAACAGG